UACGAAGGGGGCUAGCGUUGCUCGGCAUUACUGGGCGUCAAGCGCACGUAGGCGGGUUGUUAAGUCGGGGGUGCAAUCCUGGAGCUCAACUCCAGAACUGCCUUCGAAACUGGCGAUCUUGAGUCCGGGAGAGGUGAGUGGAACUGCGAGUGUAGAGGUGAAAUGCGUAGAUAUUCGCAAGAACACCAGUGGCGAAGGCGGCUCACUGGCCCGUUACUGACGCUGAGGUGCGAAAGCGUGGGGAGCAAACAGG
rnacentral:rRNA from 1 species